AGUGCUCACCGAUCUUCUGAUGUAGCUUCCACCCCCUCCCCAGCUCUCCGGCAGACGCAAACCACCCUCAGAACUCCACCCGGGACAUCACCCAGAAGGUUUUCUCUGUUGCUGUCGCUUUCAUUUUCUUCUUUGGUCUGCCUUUUAUGAAACUGCAGCAUUUCGGUUUGAUUUGAAUCUGGAUGAAGUCGAAGCGUCCCCUCUAAGUUCAGCAUGGGGACUGGUUCGCAGACGCAAUCAUUUCAGUUAUCAUCAGUUCUCAACAGGUUUCAUGCAGGUGCUCCUGGCUUUAUCAGAUUGGCUGCGGAGGUUGGGAGUUCUGUGCUCUAGGACCCAGAACUUGGGCAAACUGGCCUUCUGCGUAGACUCUGUGCCCCAGGCUAAUAUAGACAGGCGUGAACUGAGCCACAGACUGCUCAGCUCAUGAGCUCUGAAUUUUCUCUCCACAAGGUUCAAGGCUUGCUUUGGAGACAAAUCACUGAGGUCCAUGGCAGGUAUAGAGUGGAGUUCAAAUCUGCUCUUUGAGAAGAGAAGCCCAGAAGAGAGUGGAUUCUUGAAGCCCCAUGGAGGGCUAGCUACAUUUUACCUGGAGACAAGAUAAUCUGAGGGGCGAAGCCAGUGAUGCAGAGCACCAAGACUCAGAAGAUGAAUAUUGUGCCUGCUUUGGCGAGACAUGGUUCAGACUCAGAAGGAGUAUGUAACGAUAAUAAAGAGAAGAUAUGAUGAUA
rnacentral:lncRNA from 1 species